GACGAACGCUGGCGGCGUGCUUAACACAUGCAAGUCGAACGGAGAGGCCCUGCUUUUGUGGGUUGCUCUAGUGGCGAAGGGGUGAGGAGCACGUGAGGAACCUGACCUGGACUUUGGGAUAACUUCAGGAAACUAGGGCUAAUACCGGAUAGGAGCUCCUGCGGCAUGGGGGGGGUUGGAAAGGGUCGGCGGUUGGGGAGGGGCUCGCGGCUUAUCAGGUUGUUGGGAGGGUAGUGGCUUACAAAGGCUUUGACGGGUAGCCGGCCUGAGAGGGUGACCGGCCACAUUGGGACUGAGAUACGGCGCAGACUCCUACGGGAGGGAGCAGUGGGGAAUAUUCCACUAUGGGCGGAAGCCUGAUGCAGCAACGCCGCGUGCGGGAUGACGGCCUUCGGGUUGUAAACCGCUUUCGCCUGUGACGAAGCGUGAGUGACGGUAAUGGGUAAAGAAGCACCGGCUAACUACGUG
rnacentral:rRNA from 1 species